rnacentral:rRNA from 1 species
UACGGAAGGGGCAAGCGUUGUUCGGAAUCAUUGGGCGUAAAGGGCGCGUAGGUGGCUCUGUGUGUCUACCGUGAAAGCGUACGGCUCAACCGUAUUUUGUCGGUAGAAACUGCAGGACUUGAGGCUGGGAGGGGCUGGUGGAAUUCCCUGUGUAGCGGUGAAAUGCGUAGAGAUGGGGGAGAACACUCGUGGCGAAGGCGGCCAGCGAGACCAGUUCUGACACUGAGGCGCGACAGCGUGGGGAGCAAACAGG